AGCUGAAACCUGUGUGAGAGGAAAAUCAACCCUGCUGUACCUUGGCAUCCUGCUUUUGCACUUGAGAGACGUCCCUGGAGCUGAAGUUGUAAGGCUAAUAACAAAAGGCUACAAAGUAAAGCCUCCUCUCGGCAAAGCCGGACAUGGAGGACCUCGGUCCACGCCGAGUGAAGAACCGAAACACAGAGCCCAGAAAGGAGGAAACAAAAAGCAGAACCAGAGGGGCAGGAACUGUGUCGCCAGGGCUUGAAAAGACGGAAAAAGGCCGGCUUCCUCCCGCGUGAGGUCCGUUCCCGCUCCAGACUCCAACCAUUUCCGCUCAGGGUAACCGCAAAACCCUUCCCGCGCGGGAACUCGGCGGAGGAGGAGUCUUGGGUCCCGCCCUUCUGGCGGAGCGCAUAAAGCCUACCCCGGCCGCCGCCGUGUCUCUGGAAUGUUCUGAAGGGAGGAAGCGCGCCCCUCCGCAGGCCAGGGAACACUCGGCGCCAGAUGGCGCUACCGCACCGAGAGCCAGAACCUGCCUCUCAAGGGAGCUGGGCCGAGACGCCACCGGAAGUGAGCGCUCCGCGAGCCUCCCGGCCCGGAUAUCCAGCCUUCUAGCGUGUUCCCGCGCGGGGGCGGAGCUACAACCGGAACCGGACUGCGAACGCUGGGCCUCGUGGCGGAAGAGCCAGGAGGGGCCUUGGAGGCGGUGACUUCCGCUGCGCGCGCCUGGUCUGAGCGUGCACGCGAGGGGCGGGGCCUCCGCGCGGGCGCGCGGGCGCUUGCGUACUAGGAGGGCGUGGUUGCGGGAGGCAUGUGCUGGUUUCUCCAUCUUUGAUCGCUCGCAGGCCUCGCCGGGCGGACAUUAAAGUGGUGUCUUAGCAGGUUUUUGUCUGUUUUGUUGCUUCCCUCUCACAGGAGUUGGUUUCUGGCUGUAAAUUCCGUUUCUGGAAAUCUCUGGAACGUUAGCAAUGUACAAGGUAGUCUCGAGCUGCUUUCUUGCCAUUGAUCCCUCCACGUUCAUCCCAGUCGGUGUCAGCCCUUGCAUCGUUACCCACACGAGGCUACCCGUGACAGCUAAUGGCAUCUAAGGACUUGGAAAGGCUUAUAUUACGGGCUUUUAAAGCGCUUAAUUUGAGCUUUACCCUUUAUUUUUGUCAGGAUAUUGGCACUCUGCAUUCUGUGGUGUGGCUUUGCACCGAACCGUUUGUUGAAGGUUUGAACGCUGCCAGGGGAAAACCCCGCCCCUUUCCCACGUUGGCUGUGUCUGAUCCAAACCCAUUUUUAAGUAGCUGGACAGUACUUCACCCUGGUCCGUGGGCUUUGUUUUGAUUUUAGUUGUAUCGUGAGGAUUAUGAACUUGUAUUGCAGAAAGUAUUAGUGUCCACCUUUAAAUAUACAUACACUUUCGGCUGAAAGACAGUUUCCCAAAGCUCCCAAGUUUCCCAGAAAUGUCUUCAGCUUUUGGUAGAUGCUUUUAGGAAUUUCAGAGGUCCUUGCUGUCAAAAGAUUUAAAUAAAGUCAAACAUAAAAAAGUAACAAAACAUUCACGCACACACACUCACAAACACAC
ensembl:lincRNA